GUCCAGGCCACAGUGUGGGUUUCCUGUAGCUGCCAGGACUUGAUCAACUCCUGAACUCCUGGCUUCGACCUCAGCUUGAUUAGGACUUCGCCUUCUUACUCAGACCCUGAAACCUGACUUGGACUCUGACUGUUGGUAUCAUCCCUGGCCUGGAAUCUGACUGUGCAUUUCUCCGCUACUCCCUGCCUCAGAUUUGCCCCUGCUCUUACCCUUGGUCCUGACUGCAUGUGUUGGGAUCCUGACACAUUGUUCUGCUAUGAAUUGUUAUCUCACAUUUUGGGACAAUGCCCGGCUGUCCAACAUGCCUGCAUAAGGAGGCAUAAUAAGCUGUGUGAGAUUCUGGUAAAAGAGGCAAGGAAACUUGAGUGAGUUGUAUAUCAGGAACCAAAACUACGUACUGAUGAUGGCAAACUGAGAAAAACAGACCUUUUAUUUGCCAAGGAUGGAACAGCCCAUAUGGUCGAUGUCAUUGUUUGUUUUGAAUAUAGGGAGAAAGCAUUCAUGAACGUAGUGGCAGAGAAAGUACAAUAUUAUCAUUCUGUGACUGAACAAUUAAAAAAAUUGACAGGGGCCAAACAGGUCACCUAUGAUGGUUUCCCCACCGGUAUGAGAGGGAAUGGCGUAAAAUCAAUGACAAGCUUUUAUUACAUCUUGGGAUGUUGAACUACAGGCAAGGACAAACAACUAGACUGUUCAAUCAGAGAGUCCUGCUGUACCCACAUCUUGGGAUGUUGAACUACAGGCAAGGACAGACAACUAGACUGUUCAAUCAGAGAGUCCUGCUGUACUCCACAGAUGAUAUCAACAUCUUUGCCAGCAUAAGGAAGAGUGCUGGCAACCCUGCUGAUACCAAGCUCGAUCGUACUCCAAGGCGUCAUGUAGAAAUUUCCUAACAACUAUACCCCUUAAUUCAUGACUGCGUUCACUGAACAUGGCAAACUGGGUUGGAUGGGCCAUCUGGAGUAUGGCACUCCCCAAAUAACCUGAAAAAGAAACCAGUGGAGAGGGGUUCAAAUAGCCAAAUGCCUCACCAUCUAAUUAGAGAUGCACAUGAAUGGAUGAAUGAGACUCCCACUCUACCCAGCUACUGUCCAGCGAAACCACAGCCAAGGGAACAGGCUUGGCAGAAUCAGCAAGGAAACAAGAGUUUGUUGAGCUUGAUUCUAAUCUGGCACUGUGAAGAGACAGGAGAGGUGUAAAAUAAGUGAGAGGCCUCUGGGCUGCUGAUGAAAUACCACUACUAAUCAUUUUUUUCACUUUACGUGGUGAGGUGAGGUGGGGCAAGCCCCGAAGUGCUCUUGCUCCUGGCUCCAAAUGUCCGGUGUGUGCUGGGCACAAAGAGCUCCAGGGGCAGUGUCAGCUGGGGAGUUUGACUGGGCCAAUACACCUGUCAAACUAUAACACUGAUGUCCUAAAGUGAGGUCAGGAAGGACAGACAUCUCCUGUAGACCAAAAGGGCAAAAAAACUCACUUGAUCUUGAUUUGAAGUAUGAAUACAGACUGUGAAAGCAGGGCCUCAUGAUUCUUCUGACUUUUUGUGUUUUAAGCAGGAGGUGUCAGAAAAGUUACCACAGGGAUAACUGGCUUGAGAUGUCCCAGGCAUUCAUAGCAACAUGAUAUUUUGAGGAUAGGCAGCGACUUCCCUGCUUUCCCCUGGGUGCUCAACCCCCGCUCUGCCCCGGCCCCACCUCCCCACCUCCUCCCCUGAGUAUGCCACGUUCCUGCUCCUCCCCCUCCCUCCCAGAGCGUGCAAACAGCUGUUUGGCAGCGGCCGGGUGGGAAACGCUGGGAGGUAAGCGGAGGAGCAGGAAGCAGCACACUAUGGGGGGGAGGAGGAGGAAAAGGAGGAGGGGCGGGGAGAGGGGAGCUUGGCUGCCAAUGGGUGCAGAGCACCCACUAAUUUUUCCCUGUGGGUGCUCCAGCCCCGGAGCACCCACAGAGUCAGCGCCUAUGAUUUUGAACCUUCAAUGUUGGCUCUUCCGUACACUGUGAAGCAGAAGUUACCAACUAUUGGAUUAUUCACCCACUAAUAGGGAAUGCGAGUUGGGUUUAGACUGCCAUGAAACAGGUUAGUUUUAGCCUACUGAUGAUGUGUCAUUGCAAUAGUAAUCCUGCUUUGUACAAGAGGAACCACAGGUUCAGAAAUUUGGUGUCUGUGCUUGGCUGAAGAGCUAAUGGGGCAAAGCUGCCAUCUGUGAGAUUAUGACUGAACCCCUCUAAAUCAGAAUUCCCCCUAAACACAAAGAUACAGCAGUAACAUGGAGCCUUGGUAAGCCCUGGACAGCCGACCACCCUUUCUGUGGAAGCAGGGCAUAGUGCAGAGAGCCAUUAGUGUCAGGACUGGAAUGUGGACAGAAGGGAACCGCCUCUCACCCAUAGUCCACCACAUGUUCAUGAUGAUCCUGGUGCUAAAUCAUGUGUAGAUGACCUGAUUAUGGGUCAGGGUUUCAUGUGCAGCAAAGCAGCUAUCUCACUGCAUUCUACUGAAAGUCUGAAUUUGUCUCUAUUAAC
rnacentral:ncRNA from 1 species